rnacentral:rRNA from 1 species
AACGAACGCUGGCGGCAUGCCUAACACAUGCAAGUCGAACGAGACCUUCGGGUCUAGUGGCGCACGGGUGCGUAACGCGUGGGAAUCUGCCCUUGGGUUCGGAAUAACUCGCCGAAAGGCGUGCUAAUACCGGAUGAUGACGUAAGUCCAAAGAUUUAUCGCCCAAGGAUGAGCCCGCGUUGGAUUAGCUAGUUGGUGAGGUAAAGGCUCACCAAGGCGACGAUCCAUAGCCGGUCUGAGAGGAUGAUCAGCCACACUGGGACUGAGACACGGCCCAGACUCCUACGGGAGGCAGCAGUGGGGAAUAUUGGACAAUGGGCGAAAGCCUGAUCCAGCAAUGCCGCGUGAGUGAUGAAGGCCUUAGGGUUGUAAAGCUCUUUUACCCGGGAUGAUAAUGACCGUACCGGGAGAAUAAGCUCCGGCUAACUCCGUG